UACGGAGGAUGCGAGCGUUAUCCGGAUUCAUUGGGUUUAAAGGGUGCGUAGGCGGUUUUUUAAGUCAGUGGUGAAAUCCUGCGGCUCAACCGUAGAACUGCCAUUGAAACUGAAGAACUUGAAUAUAGUUGAGGUAGGCGGAAUGUGCAGUGUAGCGGUGAAAUGCUUAGAUAUUGCACAGAACACCGAUUGCGAAGGCAGCUUACCAAGCUAUUAUUGACGCUGAGGCACGAAAGCGUGGGGAUCAAACAGGAUUAGA
rnacentral:rRNA from 1 species